GCGGGUGGAGCUCAGUGGUCGAUCCCUGGCAAAGGGAUCGCCAGCUCCGCAAUGUUAGGUCCACAGUCUCCCGCGGUUGGAAUUCCCCGAAGUCGGUCCCCAGCAGAGGCCGCCAGCUCCA